rnacentral:rRNA from 1 species
GACGAACGCUGGCGGCGUGCUUAACACAUGCAAGUCGAACGGAAAGGCCCUGCUUUUGUGGGGUGCUCGAGUGGCGAACGGGUGAGUAACACGUGAGUAACCUGCCCUUGACUUUGGGAUAACUUCAGGAAACUGGGGCUAAUAUCGGAUAGGAGCUCCUGCUGCAUGGUGGGGGUUGGAAAGUUUCGGCGGUUGGGGAUGGACUCGCGGCUUAUGAGCUUGUUGGUGGGGUAGUGGCUUACCAAGGCUUUGACGGGUAGCCGGCCUGAGAGGGUGUCCGGCCACAUUAGGACUAAGAGACGGCCCAGAAGCCAACGGGAGGCAGCGGGGGGGAGUAUUGCACAAUGAGCGGAAGCCUGAGGCAGCAACGCCGGGUGCGGAAUGACGGCCUUCGGGUUGUGAACCGCUUUCGCCUGUGACGAAGCGUGAGUGACGGUAAUGGGUAAAGAAGCACCGGCUAACUACGUG